GUCUCCCAAUAAAACCGACGCAUCUCGACGGGGAAACAGGAUUUUACAGACUUCCUUUUUAAUACCGCAUCACGAGCAUCCCACCGCCUCUGCACUGUUCCGGCGUCGGAAUUAAAUUUCGAUACACGACCCCACGAUGCACUUAUAUCACCGUUGAUUACGCUAAUCAAGGGACUCCCGAGUCUCGUACUUGUUUUACAAUGCUGAGCAAAACAGAGCUAGGAAAUUGGAGUAUAGAGGCCAAACAGCGUGGUUCGUAUGCGUGUAACGCACGUAACGUACUGCGCCAUGGGGGCACGUCGCAAGGGGUUGUUGGCGCACAACAGAAGGGGAUUUAUACGAGGGCCCUGAGGGGAGCGAUCGUGCAGGGUACACGCGUGUAAAGGGAAAAGAGUGGCCCCAACCAACCGACCCACACGCGACGCCUGUAUGUAUUCGCUAUUCAUUCCUAUAACAGUAAUCGUGGAGCGAGAACGGUGGUGUGGUGUAGUGAAUCGAGUCCCCCUUCUUCUCGCGCUGUGCGACGCCAGCUGCGGAACACGCAACAGCAGAAAGGGCCCCGAUUCUAUGCCGCACAUUUUUAACCAGAAUAUUAUCGUAUAAGGAACCUAAACGGACGACAACCGGUAGACUGCAUUAUGAUCGUUCACGUGGCCGUGACGAUCGAUAGAUCUUGGAAAAUAUCUUCAAUCCAACGAAUGUGUGAAAUUCGAACGGAACUUAGAGUAACGAAUAAUAAAAUCCUCGUGAAAUUUUACCUCUAGAUGAUGAAUUGGAGCUGAUGUAAAUCCGGUUCAUGAUGAGCGAGUAAAGUCUAAACGUUGUACUACGGGAAGAAAUUCCUCUUCCGAUGAAAUGGCUGGGCCAUUGCUUCUACUUAAAAAUAAAUGAAACAGAAGCUGGGAGUGACUCCCAGACGAGUUAUACUCACAUUAUAUUGUGAUGAAGUUUAUCCCGAUGAGUUUUGUAGAACAGAAGCUUGUAAUUUCUCUCAUCCAGGAGCAAUAAAACUAUAACGUUUCAAUGUA